rnacentral:rRNA from 1 species
GCAGUCGAGCGGUAAGGCCCCUUCGGGGGUACACGAGCGGCGGACGGCUGAGUAAUACGCAGGAAUGUACCCCAAACUGAGGGAUAACUGCCCGAAAGGGUAGCUAAUACCGCAUGUGCUCUUCGGAGUAAAGCUACGGCGGUUUGGGAACAGCCUGCGUCCGAUUAGCUUGUUGGUGAGGUAAUGGCUCACCAAGGCGACGAUCGGUAGCUGGUCUGAGAGGAUGAUCAGCCAGACUGGGACUGAGAUACGGCCCAGACUCCUACGGGAGGCAGCAGUAGGGAAUUUUCCACAAUGGGCGAAAGCCUGAUGGAGCAACGCCGCGUGCAGGAUGAAGGCCUUCGGGUUGUAAACUGCUUUUAAGAGCGAAGAUUAUGACGGUACCCAUAGAAGAAGCCCCGGCUAACUUCGUGCC